rnacentral:rRNA from 1 species
AGAGUUUGAUCCUGGCUCAGAUUGAACGCUGGCGGCAUGCCUUACACAUGCAAGUCGAACGGUAACAGGUCUUCGGACGCUGACGAGUGGCGAACGGGUGAGUAAUACAUCGGAACGUGCCCAGUCGUGGGGGAUAACUACUCGAAAGAGUAGCUAAUACCGCAUACGAUCUGAGGAUGAAAGUGGGGGACCUUCGGGCCUCGCGCGAUUGGAGCGGCCGAUGGCAGAUUAGGUAGUUGGUGGGAUAAAAGCUUACCAAGCCGACGAUCUGUAGCUGGUCUGAGAGGACGACCAGCCACACUGGGACUGAGACACGGCCCAGACUCCUACGGGAGGCAGCAGUGGGGAAUUUUGGACAAUGGGCGAAAGCCUGAUCCAGCAAUGCCGCGUGCAGGAUGAAGGCCUUCGGGUUGUAAACUGCUUUUGUACGGAACGAAAAAGCUCCUUCUAAUACAGGGGGCCCAUGACGGUACCGUAAGAAUAAGCACCGGCUAACUACGUGCCAGCAGCCGCGGUAAUACGUAGGGUGCGAGCGUUAAUCGGAAUUACUGGGCGUAAAGCGUGCGCAGGCGGUUAUGUAAGACAGAUGUGAAAUCCCCGGGCUCAACCUGGGAACUGCAUUUGUGACUGCAUGGCUAGAGUACGGUAGAGGGGGAUGGAAUUCCGCGUGUAGCAGUGAAAUGCGUAGAUAUGCGGAGGAACACCGAUGGCGAAGGCAAUCCCCUGGACCUGUACUGACGCUCAUGCACGAAAGCGGGGGGAGCAAACAGGAUUAGAUACCCUGGUAGUCC